UGACGACUAGCCCUUGACCGGAUUCUUAAGACACGUGAUUUCACAGCUAUAAUCCUUACUGACUAUUGCAGUUCUCUGGAGUUUCUUAAAUCUGUCUUCCCUCCAGACUGAAAACCUGCUUCCUCUGUAUCUCACGUUACAAUCCUAACUCAUAUGCAAAUCUCUCCAACUGGCAUGAUUUCACCAAGGGCAGUUUGGAAUUGCAGUGACAGAGGAAGUUUGGAUGUGAACACAGUUGUUCAUCUGAGAGGCUCCAUAGAACGAGCAUUUAGUGAGUUGGGUUUCAAGGUCUUUUACAGUCUUUUGGAGCUCAGGCUCUAAUUGAUACAUAGUUAGGAUUUUAUAAAUUUAAAAUUCAAGAAAUUAAAAAAAUGAUUAACUUUCAAUGCUUUAAAUGUUUUGACUCUUCUAAAGAAAACUGUUUUUCUCCCCACAAUAGCUCCGUAAAAGAGUUGAUGGCAAAUGCUCUUUUUCCUGAAGUCUAUUUCAGAGGUUCCUGCUGGCCGCAUUCCCAUGGGGUUUCUGGCCUGGGGCUAGAAUUGAUUAUCAGACAUGAAAGGGGCUGGCCCCGUGGCCGAGUGGUUAAGUUCACGCGCUCCGCUGCAGGCAGCCCAGUGUUUCGUUGGUUCAAAUCCUGGGCGCAGACAUGGCACUGCUCAUCAAACCACGCUGAGGCAGCGUCCCACAUGCCACAACUGGAAGGACCCACAGCGAAGAAUAUACAACUAUGUACUGGGGGGCUUUGGGGAGAAAAAGGAAAAAAUAAAAUCUUUAAAAAAAAAUAG
rnacentral:lncRNA from 1 species